AUUUUUAUUCUUUCACCUUCUUUAAUCUCUCUGUACCAUUGUCAGUGAUCAAUCGAGGCUGAUGUUUUAUCUUUUAGUGCUGGUUGCUUGCAGUUUUUUUUAACGGAAUUAGGAAUAGAUAGUGUUCUUCUAUGAUGCGAUUGAAUACUGGAACGUAGAGCUUGAUCUCAGGUUGAGUAAGGAGGAACAGUCACCUGCACUGGCAACCGUGACUGGCUCUAGAUUUCAGAAACGAUAUUCAAAUAGACCCAUAGUUGAGUUUGAGAUUGCUGCUCAAGAGCAAAUGAAAAUAACGGAACUGCGUCUUGCAAAGCUUUUCUCGACCAAACAACAAAAUACCUCUUCAACCUGGGAGAGCUUGUGAGAUCCUACGUUGGUUGGAGUGGGAAACAAAGCAUUUCUUGUAAGGGUGUGGAAACCUCUCCCUGGCAUACGUGUUUUAAGACCUUGAAGGGAAGUGCGAAAAGGAAGGUCCAAAGAGAACAAUAUCGGCUAGUGGUAGGCUUGAGCUGUUACAAAUGGUAUCAUCUGGGUGGUGUGCCGAUAAGGAUGGGCAGUCCAAGAAGGAAGGUCCAAAGAGAACAAUAUCUGAUAGCGGUAGGCUUGAGCUGUUACAAAUGGUAUCAUUCUGGGUGGUGUGUCGAUAAGGAUGGGCAGUCCAAGAAGGAAGGUCCAAAGAGAACAAUAUCCACUAGCGGUAGGCUUGAGCUGUUACAAAUGGUAUCAUUCUGAGUGGUGUUCCCAUAAGGAUGGCCCCCAAGGGGUAGAUUGUGAGAUCUCACAUUAGUCGGAGAGAAGAACGAAAAUGGAAACCCGCAUGCACGUUUUAAAGCCUUGAGGAAAAUUUUUAUAAGGUGUUGAAACCUCUCGGCAUGCACGUCUUAAAGCCUUGAGGAAAAUCUUUAUAAGAUGUUGAAACUUCUCGGCAUGCACGUUUUAAAAGCCUUGAGGGAAAGCUCAAAAGUAAAAAUACAAAGAGAACAAUAUCACAGGGAAAGCAUUGGAUUGGGGUCAGAGCUAUCCUCCGAAGGUAUCAACGGAAAUUAGUUUUCUCCCUUACUCUUCCAAACUGAUUCAGGAUUCUCAUUCAGUUACCGUUUCCUAAACAUUAGGGGGAAAAUGUUGUUAUUGGAUCUUGAUUAAUUAUGAAAUAAAAAGCCAAUUAAUUUCACUUCCAUCUUUUUAUUGCUUAAAAAAUUUAUCCUAAUAUAAACACUUUUCACUUAAGAGCCGGAGGAAAUGGGCUUGAAUUGAACCACAAAUCUUUCCUAGAAUUAAUGCUCAUUCUACAAUUGUCAACGUAACAGCCAAGAGGGCGAAUGCAAAUGAACUAUAAAUAUGGCAAUGAACUUGGGUUUAAUCAUUACUAUUC